rnacentral:rRNA from 1 species
AGCAGCCGCGGUAAUUCCAGCUCCAAUAGCGUAUAUUAAAGUUGUUGCAGUUAAAAAGCUCGUAGUUGAAUUUCGGGACCAAUCUGCCGGUCGUGCCUCUGGUGCGCACUGGUUUUAUUGGUUUCUCCCUUCUGACGAACCAUGAUGUCAUUAAUUUGGUGUCAUGGGGAAUCAGGACUGUUACUUUGAAAAAAUUUAGAGUGUUUAAAGCAGGCUUACGCUUGAAUACAUUAGCAUGGAAUAAUGAAAUAGGACGUUUGACCCUAUUUUGUUGGUUUCUAGGAUCGACGUAAUGAUUAAUAGGGAUAGUUGGGGGCAUUAGUAUUCAAUUGUCAGAGGUGAAAUUCUUGGAUUUAUUGAAGACUAACUACUGCGAAAGCAUUUGCCAAGGAUGUUUUCAUUAAUCAAGAACGAAAGUUAGGGGAUCGAAGACGAUCAGAUACCGUCGUAGUCUUAACCAUAAACUAUGCCGACUAGGGAUCGGAUGAUGUUAAUUUUUUAAUGACUCAUUCGGCGCCUU